rnacentral:rRNA from 1 species
CCGGCGCACGGGUGAGUAACACGUACGCAACCUGCCUGCCACAGCCGGAUAAUCGGGAGAAAUUCCGUCUAAUACGGCAUAAUGCAUCGACGGGACAUCCUGUUGGUGCCAAAGGUUGAUUCCGGUGGCGGAUGGGCAUGCGUCGCAUUAGUUAGUUGGCGGUGUAACGGACCACCAAGACGACGAUGCGUAGGGGUUCUGAGAGGAAGGUCCCCCACACUGGUACUGAGACACGGACCAGACUCCUACGGGAGGCAGCAG